rnacentral:rRNA from 1 species
GACGAACGCUGGCGGCGUGCCUAAUACAUGCAAGUUGAGCGAUGAAGAUUGGUGCUUGCACCAAUUUGAAGAGCAGCGAACGGGUGAGUAACGCGUGGGGAAUCUGCCUUUGAGCGGGGGACAACAUUUGGAAACGAAUGCUAAUACCGCAUAACAACUUUAAACAUAAGUUUUAAGUUUGAAAGAUGCAAUUGCAUCACUCAAAGAUGAUCCCGCGUUGUAUUAGCUAGUUGGUGAGGUAAAGGCUCACCAAGGCGAUGAUACAUAGCCGACCUGAGAGGGUGGUCGGCCACAUUGGGACUGGGACACGGCCCAAACUCCUACGGGAGGCAGCAGUAGGGAAUCUUCGGCAAUGGACGAAAGUCUGACCGAGCAACGCCGCGUGAGUGAAGAAGGUUUUCGGAUCGUAAAACUCUGUUGGUAGAGAAGAACGUUGGUGAGAGUGGAAAGCUCAUCAAGUGACGGUAACUACCCAGAAAGGGACGGCUAACUACGUG